AGGCUCUUCUCCAGGGAGUCCUUCCAUCUCAUUAGGUGGCCAAAGUAUUUGAGUUUCAUCUUCAGGAUCUGGCCUUCUAAAGAGCAGUCAGGGUUGAUCUCUAGGACUGACCAGUUGAUCACCUUGCGGUCCAAGGGACUC